AGGCCCGGCACAGUCUCAGUUCCCCACAGCACAGAGAGGAAGCAAGGUCUUUGCAUGCCCUGUUCACUUGGCCAAACAUUGCCCUAGAUGUGCAAUUCAACCCGUAUAAAGCAAGCGUAAUUCAAGAGCCCUGACUCUUUCACCAUUUCAUGAUGGCUUAUUACUCGCACACAGCAUUGUCAGGUUCCAGCAACUCUGUGUGCAGCAGGCAGAAAUGCAGUGUUUAUCUCUGACAGGCAAACAUUCUUAGGCUCAUCGGCAUGAGUAUCCACGCUGAACUGGCUAUCGGGGAAGUAGAUCCCUGCAUGGGAAAGUCAAGUAUCCCCACUGUGUAGAGCUUGUCCACAAUGGAGAGGAGGAAAAGUUUUGCAUUGGACCAAAUCACUGCCUUAGCAGGAAAGAGAUUGCAAUCCCAUUCAUUUUUAAGAUCUGCAAUGGGUUGGGAUGAUACCCAUUUAAAAAAGAAAAAAAAGAGUUUACCUCUUUGGCCUCUUUGGCAAAGGAUAUGAACUAGUAAUAAAGCCUCAGCAUCAAGGCUUGGGAGUCUGGCUCAAAGUGGCUAAGACUAGAAGCAUCUUCUAACAUAAAUAUGGCAGCAUUAGGAAAAUAGCUUGAUCUUUAGAGAGACCCAGAUUAUCUUCACCUUAAAAGCUACCAAGACCCUGGUCCAGCAAGACUACCAUCACAGCAGUAAAUACAUAGCCACCAACUUCACCGAAGGUUUUCCACUGAGACAUUGUGAAAACCACAAUCCAUUACCGGUGGAUGAGUCCCAGCUCUCUUACUACCUGGGGUUUCCAAGCAAGACUUACCUGUCCUUUGUUCCGGAUUGGUUCCUGGGAUCCUGGACCAACACAAAGAGAAGAGGAAAGCCUCAAGGGAAAUAAAAGUGAAGGUUUCAGUGAUAGUUUAAAUAUAUAUUUUUAAAUGUUAGCUUUUUUUUAAAUACUUCACGGUGAUGGAUGGAGUAUUUCAACCACAAUGGCAAAGAAUGAAUUACCGGCAGUGUCAGAGUUUCUUGUUGCUGUGGGAAGACAGCUGCCAUGUUGAGAGGUGCCUGGUGGAGAGGCUCAUGUGGUGAGGAACUGAGACUGGCUUCUAUCCAACAACCAGUGAGGAACUAAGGCCCUAAAGUCCUAUAGUCCACAAGGAACUAAAUCCUACCAACAACCACAUGAGUGAGCCUGGAAUCUGAUUUUCCCCAGUGGGGACUUAAGGUACCUACAACCUGGCUGUUAUGGGCUAAACUGCAUCCUGCCCAAAUUUAUAUGUUUGAGUCUUAACUCCCAGCACUUCAGAACAUGGUUUUGUUUGGAGACAUAGUCAUUAAAGAGGUAAUGAAGUUAAAAUGAGGUCAUUAGGAUGAGUCCUAAUCCAAUAGGACUGGUGUGAUUAUAUGAAGAGGAAAUUUGAACACAGACACAUAUAGAGGAAAGACCAUGCGAAGAAGACACAGAGAGGAAACGGCCAUCUACAAUCCAAGGAGAGAGGCCUCAGAACAAGCCAACCCUGCAGAUACCUUGAUCUAGGCAUCCAGAAUUGUAUGAAAAUACAUUUUUGUUAUUUAAGCUACCCAGUCUGUGGUGCUUUGUUAUGGCAAUCCCAGAAAACUAAUUAACUAAGUGACUGCAGCCUUGCAAGGGACCCUGAACCAGAGGACCCAGUUAAGCCAUGUGCAGAUUCCUGACUCACAGAACUAGGAGAUAACAAAUGUUUGUUGCUCUAAGGUGCUAAAUGUUGGGAAAAUAUGGAUGCUAUGCUCUGAUGUUUGCAGAGGCCAGGAAAUUCUUGCUCUGAGAGUUCCAGAAAAAAAGAUUUGUCCAGAUUUGAACUAAUUUCAGAAAAACAAAACAAAAACAAAAAACCAUCCAAGGUUAAGAGGUGACUUCUGACUCACAGAAUGAACAAGAAGGCAGGGGAAAAAAAUAAAUCCCCCAAGAUUCAGGUCAAAGGAAAUGAACAGAAGGAUGAUGGAGUGGCCCAGAGGAGGAUCACGUGACAGAAAAGUCAAGAUAAAUUAGUGGCAGGACAGAGGAAAAUAACUAAAGACCUGCAGGAUCCUGAAAGAAAGAAUGAAAGGAAGCAGAUGAAGAUUCUAGAGCCCAGCUGAAUAGCCAGGCUGCCUGAGGGUAAAGAGGGAGAGAAAGAGGAAGCAGUGAAUCAAAUCAAAGAAGGAUAGAAAAAUACAGAGAAACAAGCCAGGGCGCGGUGGCUCUCACCUGUAAUCCCAGCACUUUGGGAGGACAAGGAAGGCGGAUCACAUGAGGCCAGGAAUUUGAGACCACCCUGGCCAACAUGGCAAAACCCUGUCUCUACUAGAAAAAUAUGGAGGAAUGUUUGAGAGAUUGUGCACUGCCAGGGGUGAGGACAUAAAUUUAUUUGCUAUGUGAAUGUUUUUUGAGACUCAUCUAGUUCCUUUACAAUUUUAAUUUAGAAUUUCUUUAACUCCAAAUCAGGAUCAUUAGCUGGGAGUUCUUAUAAAUCAAAAGCAAAACAAAGCUAUUGCAAACAAGUGAGAGUUCUCAUAACCUUAAUCAGAAAGGCUUGAGUUGCAUUUCCAAAUCCUGUCUCUAGAGACCGCGAGUUUUUAAUGAUAGUAUUUCCAUGAAAGCCCAAUUGAAUACAAUCACCACCCAGACCAAAGUGUAGGGGAAAUCAUAAAGUUACUUUCAAAUCCGAGUCUUCUUUGAAAUUUAAAAUUAUAUUCCAUGAUAAUGGUUCUCAUAAACCUUAAUGCAAGGGAAAAAAAAAACUACAGCAGAAUAAAGAAGAUUUAAAAAGAAGCAGGAUAGGAAAAAAGACAAGCCAGAGGCUGGCUAUAUCUUUUCAUAAAGCACACCAGGUCUCAUAAGCACAUGAGAGCUAGGCCCAGAAGUUUCGAGCCUUGGAGACUCACUUCAAACAAAUUCCAGGGAAAGACACUCAAUUAAGUGUUCAGGACAAUUGUAUAUCCCCAGUGCACUCAUGUACUGGAAGUGCUUAAACUCUGCCCUCAGUGGUCAAUAAAAUGGUAUUAAGUCACAGACAACCCAUUGCCAUUGGUAUUGGCUGAUGUCUCUGGUAGUUUAUGUGAUGACAAACAUUAGCCUUAACAGCAGAGCCUUCCUUUCUUUGAUUUCCAUGUGAAAUUCUGUGGCUGGGAGAUGUUUAUGUUCACAUGAACAUAACUGUAAGCAAACCAUCUUAUGGUAGACAUCUCUCCAGAAAAAGCAAAUUCCAUCUUUUUAAAUAGAAAAAAAACAGCAGCAAAAUGAAAUUAAUGCCUUUGGCUCAUUGUGUUGUAAAAUUAUCCUUGAAGUUACUUCACACUGCCCUAAAAAAUCAUUGAAUUCAGAUUAUAACACAGCUCUUAUGAAGCUGUUAGGCAGUUGCAUCUUUAAUGAGGCUGAGUAGGUAAGAGGAACAGAUACUCUAGAUUGAAAGCCAUCUCAAAAAAUGUGAAACAACUGUAUUAAAUUUAAUUUAAUUUAACCAAUGGGUGUAUUUAUUCCCUGCCUUCUUCCAGAAAGGAUUUAGGGAGCUUAGGUAAUGUGGAGGUCUGAAGGUGUAGAUACUCAUGAAAGCCUCAGAUUAAUAUCUAGAACAUAUAACGUGUCCAGAUAGUUUUCAAUUAUCAAUGCAUUAAUCUAAGCUUGGAAAGGACUUUUAAACUGCAAUGAAACCUCAACUAGUUUCAAACCUGCAUUUUUUAGUAAGCUAUUUUGUCAUUUGGAGACCCACACAAAAAACCUAUUGUUCCUUUAAAAAGGAGAGAGAGAAAAAAAGAAAAACAACCUGCUGGUGUUGCUUUGUUCAUCUUAUCACCUUAUCAUGCAGCAGCCUAUUCAGGAUCAAAUGUGGGAAAGUCUGUGUGUGAGAUUAAGCCCUAUACUCAGCACAGGAAUUUCUUGGAUAAAUGUCUUUCUUAAAUGGAUAGCUAUGUAAAAAACAGAAGAGAAACUCUAUUAUUACAAUGCAGUUGGGUUUUUUUGUUCUGUAUGUUUCAAAUCUAAUAUUUAAAAUUAAGAAAAUUCAAAGCAAACCAUCUGUGUGGAUGUUUUCAUACUCCAUUUUUGUGACAAUAGCCUGCUUAACCGAGAUUAUUAGUGGAUUCUUUCAAUAAGAGGAAGAGAGUAACAUCAUUAAGAUGGUAUGCCUCCACUAUCCUUUUUUUUUUUUUUGAGAUUAAAGAGUGACAAAAA